AUUGAACGCUGGCGGCAUGCCUUACACAUGCAAGUCGAACGGCAGCAUGGAGAGCUUGCUCUCUGAUGGCGAGUGGCGAACGGGUGAGUAAUGCAUCGGAACGUACCGUGUAAUGGGGGAUAACGUAGCGAAAGUUACGCUAAUACCGCAUACGACCUGGGGGUGGAGGCAGGGGAUCGCAAGACCUUGCGUUAUACGAGCGGCCGAUGUCAGAGUAGCUAGUUGGUGAGGUAAAGGCUCACCAAGGCGACGAUCUGCAGCGGGUCUGAGAGGAUGAGCCGCCACACUGGGACGUGGACACGGCCCAGAAUCCUACGGGAGGCAGCAGAGGGGAAUUUUGGACAAUGGGGGCAACCCUGAUCCAGCCAUGCCGCGUGAGGGAAGAAGGCCUUCGGGUUGUAAAGCUCUUUCGGCCGGGAAGAAAUCGCACAGGCUAAUACUCUGUGUGGAUGACGGUACCGGCAUAAGAAGCACCGGCUAACUACGUGCCAGCAGCCGCCGUAA
rnacentral:rRNA from 1 species